rnacentral:rRNA from 1 species
UACAGAGGGCGCGAGCGUUGUCCGGAAUCACUGGGCGUAAAGGGCGCGUAGGUGGCCACCAUAAGGCCGCGGUGAGAGUUCGGGGCUCAACCCCGGAUCGGCCGCGGCGACUGUGGGGCUCGAGUACUGUAGAGGCAGAUGGAAUUCCGGGUGUAGCGGUGGAAUGCGUAGAUAUCGGGAGGAACACCAGUGGCGAAGGCGGCUUCCUGGCCUGUUCUUGACGCUGAGGCGCGAAAGCUAGGGGAGCAAACGGG